ensembl:lncRNA
GUACUCCCAUUGCUUCAGCAAAAAUCUGUGUAGGAGGAGUCCUUCUCAGCCACCCAUUCACUCCCAGAACUGGAUGGCUCUGGAAAAGUUUAGGAUUGUAUUUAUUCUUUCAGCUUGGAAGAAGAGAAACCACUGUGGAUAUCAACCAUUUGUUCCAUGGCUGCUCCUGUGACUCUUGGGGUGCCAGUGAUUGUAGCAGACCACCUCUAGAUCCAGAUUUCCUCCCCAUCUACUGAUAAGAGGGACGUUCAUACAAGAACUCUAACUUGUGCCAUUAUUGACUGCACCAUUAGGAGACAUCUGAAGUCUGGAAAGCAGGUCAUUGAGUGCACAUCACUUGGUAAGGCUCUUGACAAGGCAGAUAUGACAUUCAGAUAAUGUCUGUCUAGAAGAAAAUAGGACUUCUCUCUUGGCUUCAAUCCUUUGGAUUCAAAGAAGAGGUACAGAUUAAGUCAUUUCAGCUCACCCUUUGCCAGGAAUCUUCUCAUGAUGAUGCACUCUGUCUAAAGUUCUGG